rnacentral:rRNA from 1 species
AGGGAAUAGAUACCCGGGUAGUCCACGCUGUAAAACGAUGGGCACUAGGUGUGGGGGGGUAUUGACCCCCUCCGUGCCGAAAGCUAAACGCAAAUAAAGUGCCCCGCCUGGGGAGUACGGGCCGCAAGGCUAAAAACUCAAAAGGAAAUUGACGGGGCCCGCACAAGCAGCGGAGCGUGUGGUUUAAAUUCGACGCAACGCGAAGAACCUUACAAGGCUUGACAUGCUAGUGGUACCGAUCCGAAAGGUGAGGGACCCUUCGGGGAGCUAGUGCAGGUGAUGCAUGGCUGUCGUCAGCUCGUGCCGUGAGGUG